UUUCCAGAAGAGUGCCUGGUGCAGAGGCAUUGCUCAGUAAAUAUUUUGAAUGAAUGAACACUUCAAUAGACAGCAUCUAGCACAUGAUCGGUACAUUAUAAAUACUUGAUGACUGAAUGGAUAAUGGCUCUCCAGAGGGGCUAGCACAAUACCUGACAUACAGUAGCUUCGAAAUACAUACUGGAUGGAUGAUUGACAGUUUCAACAUGAUUCUAUAUAGAACUGGAUUGCCUGUCUCCAGGACCAGAUGUGAGAACAAAGAAGCCGUAAAAUGUGCUAGAAGUAGCAGCAUGAAGAGUAAAAACCAGCCCAUGUCCCUGAGGCAUGGACAGUGUUGGGCAUGUCUUCUUAAUCAUCAACAUGACCUGGAAUAAAGACAUAUCUGAAUUCCCCCCACUCCAGUCCUGAUGCAAAAGCCGUGUGUAUCACACUCUUCAUAGCCUCAGUCAAGUGAAAGAGCAUGACCAGGCUGUCUUCCUUCUCUACGUUGUGAGAAGGAAUAAAGUGAUGGAUGUGAGAGUGGUCUCAAGACUAAAAGUGCUAUACGUC